rnacentral:rRNA from 1 species
CAGCAGCCACGGGAAUACAGAGGGUGCAAGCGUUAAUCGGAUUUACUGGGCGUAAAGGGCGCGUAGGUGGUUAUGUAAGUGAGAUGUGAAAUCCCCGGGCUCAACCUGGGAACUGCAUCUUAUACUGCGUAGCUGGAGUGCAGUAGAGGGUAGUGGAAUUUCCGGUGUAGCGGUGGAAUGCGUAGAUAUCGGAAGGAACACCAGUGGCGAAGGCGGCUACCUGGACUGACACUGACACUGAGGCGCGAAAGCGUGGGGCGCAAACAGGAUUAGAGACCCCUGUAGUCCCUGUCUCUUAUAC